AUUGAACGCUGGCGGCAGGCCUAACACAUGCAAGUCGAGCGAGCGGCGGACGGGUGAGUAAUGUCUGGGAAACUGACUGAUGGAGGGGGAUAACUACUGGAAACGGUAGCUAAUACCGCAUACCAUCAGAUGUGCCCAGAUGGGAUUUGCUAGUAGGUGGGGUAAUGGCUCACCUAGGCGACGAUCCCUAGCUGGUCGGCGAGGAUGACAAGCCACACCGUACCUGAUACACGUUCCAUACUCCUACGGGAUGCAGCAGUGGGGAAGAUUGCACAAUGGUGGCAAGCCUGAUGCAGCCAUGCCGCGUGUUUGAAGAAGGCCUUCGGGUUGUAAAGCACUUUCAGCGGGGAGGCGUUACCCGCAGAAGAAGCACCGGCGAACGCCGUGCCAGCAGCCGCGGUAAGAC
rnacentral:rRNA from 1 species